rnacentral:rRNA from 1 species
ACGGGUGAGUAACACGUGGGAACGUACCCUUUGGUUCGGAAUAACGCUGGGAAACUAGCGCUAAUACCGGAUACGCCCUUUUGGGGAAAGGCUUGCUGCCGAAGGAUCGGCCCGCGUCUGAUUAGCUAGUUGGUGGGGUAAUGGCCUACCAAGGCGACGAUCAGUAGCUGGUCUGAGAGGAUGAUCAGCCACACUGGGACUGAGACACGGCCCAGACUCCUACGGGAGGCAGCAGUGGGGAAUAUUGGACAAUGGGCGCAAGCCUGAUCCAGCCAUGCCGCGUGAGUGAUGAAGGCCUUAGGGUUGUAAAGCUCUUUUGUCCGGGACGAUGAUGACGGUACCGGAAGAAUAAGCCCCGGCUAACUUCGUGCCAGCAGCCGCGGUAAUACGAAGGGGGCUAGCGUUGCUCGGAAUCACUGGGCGUAAAGGGCGCGUAGGCGGCCAUUCAAGUCGGGGGUAAAAGCCUGUGGCUCAACCACAGAAUUGCCUUCGAUACUGUUUGGCUUGAGUUUGGUAGAGGUUGGUGGAACUGCGAGUGUAGAGGUGAAAUUCGUAGA